CAACCACUACACUAGGCUAGGCUAGCUAUAUACGCCUCUGCCUCUCGCGUCUCCCAUUUCCUCGCCUUUCCCUUCUUCCAUCUCCUCCUCGUCGUCGCGGCGCGCGAGCUAGGGUUUCUCGACUCGCCCUCGCCGAUCCGGUCAGCCAUGUCGAAGCAAGGAGGGAAGGCCAAGCCCCUCAAGGCGCCCAAGGCCGAGAAGAAGGAGUACGACGAGAGUGAUCUCGCGUAUCUGCAGAAGAAGAAAGAUGAGGAAAAGGCACUGAAGGAGCUUAAGGCCAAGGCAGGACAGAAGGGUGCACUGGGAGGCUCUGGUCUGAAGAAGAGCGGGAAGAAAUGAGGCUGAUACCAAUCUGUAAUGCCUGAAAAAUGAUAAACCAGCUACCUGUCUGUGUUACUUCACUAUGUGCGGAUGUAACAAAACUACCUUUAAGCAUGUUAUGCAUUAAGCAAUGUUGCAGUUGGUUGCUUGAUCCGAAGAUGUUUCGGGCUCUCUUCUGCUAGCUAUGAUACAUCUGGUCCCGUAUGAUGAUAAUAUAACAUAACUCAUGGUGAAAAUUCCACUUGUUUGCGCUCAA